CAGUACUUGAUACUAAAUGACCUAUCUAUAUCCUAGCCUUGUGUCAGAGGCUUGUGAUGUGUUAUGAUAGCCAGGUUUAAAAAGUACAAUAUUAAAACAAAAGCAAUGAGUCUUUUAAGCCAACUGUGUAAAGACACACUCUGGGUUAUAACUCAAAGGCACAAAG
rnacentral:snoRNA from 1 species